GUGGUUUAGUAUAGGUUGGAGCCAGAAAUGUGGUUUAGAAUAGAUUGGAGCCAGAAAUGUGGUUUAGUUUAGGUUGGAGCCAGAAAUGUGGUUUAGUAUAGAUUGGAGCCAGAAAUGUGGUUUUGUAUAGAUUGGAGCCAGAAAUGUGAUUUAGUAUAGGUUGGAGCCAGAAAUGUGCUUUAGUUUAGAUUGGAGCCAGAAAUGUGGUUUAGUAUAGGUUGGAGCCAGAAAUGUGGUUUAGUUUAGAUUGGAGCCAGAAAUGUGGUUUAGUAUAGAUUGGAGCCAGAAAUGUGGUUUUGUAACAGGCGUCGUAAGGAUUAGACCAAGGUGCAGCAGGAACAUGUAUACUCAUCCUCUUUAUUAAAUCAAAAGAAGGAAAAACAAACAAAUCACAUAUACAAAACAACAAACACCACUAAACAGUCCUGUCAGGUACACAGACACAAAACAGGAAACAACUACCCACAAAUCCCAUUACAAAAAC
rnacentral:lncRNA from 1 species